UACGUAGGGUGCGAGCGUUGUCCGGAAUUAUUGGGCGUAAAGAGCUCGUAGGCGGUUUGUCGCGUCUGCUGUGAAAACUGGAGGCUCAACCUCCAGCCUGCAGUGGGUACGGGCAAACUAGAGUGCGGUAGGGGAGAUUGGAAUUCCUGGUGUAGCGGUGGAAUGCGCAGAUAUCAGGAGGAACACCGAUGGCGAAGGCAGAUCUCUGGGCCGUAACUGACGCUGAGGCACGAAGGCCAGGGGAGCAAACGGG
rnacentral:rRNA from 1 species